CUGCCGAUGAGAGAUGGACUCAACUAUUUAUCCCUAGAGCAGAUACAGCCUUGGCAGCAGCUGGACAAGCUUUCCCCACACUAUCCUCCACCAAUCAGCAUCAUCUAUAAACUGGAGAAACCUGCUCUGGAUGAGAGAGGAAUUCAGACUCAGGUCAUCCAGUCUUUGGCUUCC
rnacentral:sRNA from 1 species